GAGCGAAAGGGAAUCCGGUUACAAUUCCGGAGCCUGUUGGGUAUACGUUUGCAUUGGCGGUAAUACCGGUAACACGGUAGCGCCUUUGUAAUCAUGGCAACAUGAAUCCUUUCCUUCGAGAAGCCAACAAGAGAUAUCGGAAGAGUUUUCUUUUCUGUUUUACAGCCACACUGGCCAUGGAAGUCUUUCAUAGAGAGAUAUGGUCGGACAAGCUGGUAGAGCAUGGUAUUAAAUUGCUGUGUCGAUAUUCUCUUCUUGGACCUUGAAAAUCGAAGACUGGGGCACGCAAACUCCCAACAGCUUGUACCGAAUCCGCAGCAGGUCUCCA
rnacentral:rRNA from 1 species